UACGGGGGGAGCAAGCGUUGUUCGGAUUUACUGGGCGUAAAGGGCGCGUAGGCGGUCAGCACAAGUCAGUUGUGAAAUCUCCGGGCUUAACUCGGAAAGGUCAACUGAUACUGUGCGACUAGAGUGCAGAAGGGGCAACUGGAAUUCUCGGUGUAGCGGUGAAAUGCGUAGAUAUCGGGAGGAACACCAGUGGCGAAGGCGGGUCUCUGGGCCGAUACUGACGCUGAGGAGCGAAAGCGUGGGGAGCGAACAGG
rnacentral:rRNA from 1 species